UACGAAGGGGGCUAGCGUUGUUCGGAAUUACUGGGCGUAAAGCGCGCGCAGGCGGUCUUCCAAGUCAGUGGUGAAAGCCUGGAGCUCAACUCCAGAACUGCCAUUGAAACUGUUAGACUUGAGUACGAGAGAGGUGAGUGGAACUGCGAGUGUAGAGGUGAAAUUCGUAGAUAUUCGCAAGAACACCAGUGGCGAAGGCGCUCACUGGCCCGGUACUGACGCUGAGGUGCGAAAGCGUGGGGAGCAAACAGG
rnacentral:rRNA from 1 species